GUGCUCUCUUUCUCCCCUGUCGCCGUUUUCAUCAGCACCGCGUGCGCUAAGCCACGUGGAGGUGCCAACGCAAAGAGACACUCAUCCCCACCGCCUCCAUCGCAGAUCGCGCGGCGCUCCCUCUUUCAGAUCGCCAUCGUCACACCUUCGCCUCAUUCCUUCGUGCGCACUCUCUCUCUCUCUCAUGAUAGCUCACCUCCACUGAAUCCCUCUCUGUAUGCCUGCAUACAUACAGGUAUAGAUACCUAGAUAUGCGGACACGUCUCCACCCUCUGCCUCUCGCCCUCUCGCCCGGUGCUCUUCAUCCCUCUUCCCCACCCCCACUCCUCCUCAUCCCCCGUUUACUGUGGUGUUUGUAUUCUUGUUUGAGUGCCAUCUGCGCGCGCUCACAUCGCCUCUGCAUUCCGCACGACACACCCCUGUCCUCCGUACUCGCGUUUGCUGGGGGUGGGUGGGUGUCGGCUAUGGGCCCUCUAGGCUUGCCUUGCUCCCUCUGCCUCUUUUAGCGGGGGUGGGUGGGUGGGUGAGGGAUGCGUGCUGCUCUUCUCGACGCUCGCCUCCUGCCUCCUUAUCCCUGCCAAAUGCCGGGCCAAUUUUGGUGGUGACAGGGCCAAGCACCUACGACGUGUAGGGGAAUUCAGAGCGAUGCAUCGCUGCUGAUGUCGGCGGUCAGGUCGUGGAUGGCGUGGCGCCAGAGUAACCCCGCGAAUGGUUUCCUUCCCGACGAAAACAUCAAAACACGAAAACAGAUCACGUAAACGUGCGCUCUCGCUCUCUCUCUCUCGCUCGGCGCGCGUGCAAACGCCGCCUUCGCCUGCUGGUUUGACGGUUGUGCUUUGUAUGGUUUGCCUUGCCGCUGUUGCUCCAGCUUUCUGGCACGCUUGCUGUACGUAGGAGGGAGUGCGACCGAUGUGUCAGGGGGUGCACGCCGGGAAACCCCUCCGCCCAGUCAUAUUCACAGAUACGUGCCUGAUUCGCUUCUCUUUUUUGUCUAAGAGAAGAGCGCCACGGAGCUCAACACAUUCGUGCCAGAAUGCGCAGAGGAAUCCAAACGAACACCUACGCUGCACUUGUUGUGAUUUUUUGUUCCGCUUUCUGCUACCUCUCCUCCGUGUCUUUUGCGUCGUCUCGUCUUUUAUGAGCGCAUGUGCACACGCCUGUGUCUGUAGAGCAUGCCUGGUCGUUGACUUGCAUCAGCCAACAGCACCGCCGACAAGAUGGUGCGGACAUGGGCGACCAAGUGCUGCGGUCGUCAACACGAGUGAACAGCAUGGCAGCAGGUCCAUCGUAGCAAGAAAGAGAUCGUUGUUGACGACAAAAUGUCGUUCGUUGGCGAGAGCGAUUCUUAUAAAAAAAAAUAAAAGGGAGGGGCGAGGGGGACGGUGAAGGUCCUCGGGCGGGGCGGGGCAACCGGGAGUUUGACGAGUUGAUGGUCGGGGGAGUGGAUCGAAUUAGAGGCCACACACACACGUGAGUGCUCCCAUACGAUCAUACGGAGAAGGAAAAGAGAGGGAGAGCGAAAGAUAGUCGUAGAGGGCCCAUGCACGUGUGUCUCGGAGUGUGCGCCGGUGGUGUCACUGGACACUGGCAACGCUCUCGCUCUGUUUCUCUCCCCUCCCGCUGCCUCUCGAUUUUUUUUUUUGCCGUCUUCUGAUGGGGUGGGCGGAUACGGAACCCCUUGGCGCUUUUCGCUGUUGCUCUCCCUCGGAAGGCCACGCCAAAGUGGAAAAGGGGCACGCGCACGCACAAAGCCGCACGGCUCGUGUCGGAUCACGUGCUGGAUGCUCCCUUGGGCCUGUGACAGUGCUGUCGCUGUCUUCUUUUU
rnacentral:misc_RNA from 1 species